UAGGGCUGGUGUGAUCACAGAUGACUCUUCGGUACUCCCUCUCUCUCUCUUGUUACAAUUUCAGCCCAUGGGACGGUUAAUUCGGCGGUAGAAUCUAAUCCACGCUUGUUGCCAUGUUACCAGCCCUACCUGCUGUGUGUGUGUGUGCGCGCGCGCGUGUUCGUGUAUUUGCUGGAUUUAUGUAGCCUUACCUGUGUACGUGUGUUGUCCAAAAAAUUCCCACAAUAUUACGGGACUUCGUGAUUCAAGAACAGUGCACAGAAGAUAACAUUUACGCGAGUGAUUCAAUCAACUUCGGCUUGUUCCGAUAUUGACUUGUGUAAUGCAAUGUGUAAGGAGUUUUCCUCUGGACAUUUCUUAUGUAUAUGUGACUUAUGGAAAGUCGUGGACAUAAUAUAUUAUAGACUAAAAGUUUCUUGUGACUGUGUAUUGUGAAGUGAAAGACUCGCAGGGAUCCACUGGCAGUGUUGUUGUGUUAAGGCCAUUUCAAGCUGACAACUGAGAGAGAGAGAGAGAG